GCCUAUGUGGCUCAGUCAGUUAAGCAUCUGACUUCAGCUCAGGUCAUGAUCUCGCAAUUUGUGGGUUUGAGUCCUGCCUCAGGCU
rnacentral:tRNA from 1 species